rnacentral:rRNA from 1 species
UACGUAGGGGGCAAGCGUUGUCCGGAUUUAUUGGGCGUAAAGAGCGUGUAGGCGGUUUGGUAGGUCCGCUGUGAAAACUCGAGGCUCAACCUCGAGACGCCGGUGGAAACCAUCAGGCUAGAGUCCGGAAGAGGAGAGUGGAAUUCCUGGUGUAGCGGUGAAAUGCACAGAUAUCAGGAAGAACACCCGUGGCGAAGGCGGGUCUCUGGGCCGAUACUGACGCUGAGGAGCGAAAGCGUGGGGAGCGAACAGG